AUGAAGGCGGUCUGGCCGGAGAUACAUAUGUUGUUGCGGCCAGCACGACACCGGGGGUGUGAGCACAUCUUCGUUGUCCUCUGCAGUGACAAGGUUUCUGUGAAGAACAGGCAGGUUAAAGCCAAGAGCAACUACAACAUUGAGAAGCCCUUCAUUUACCUUGCAAGGAAGUUGGGAGCUGGCUGUGUUGAUGGGCAAUAUUUGCAUUUUUUCGCAAAAAAUUGUGUCUCUCUUGUCUCCCCCACUCUCCUUUCUUUCCUCAACAUUCCAUCCCAAAUCAAGAGGGAGUCUUCGAUGGUUCGUCUGCCUCAUCGGCGUUCAACAGGGGUGCGAAGAGAUCCUGACCAGCUCAACGGACAUCCCCGCUCACUCCUCUGCAACACAACAUACAAACAGCUGCAAGACUAUAUUAUUCAGAAAUCCCUAAUCGUGCACCUGUUCAAGGUUUCAUUUACAUAUGUGAGCCAGGCUCCGAUGAUUUUUAAGCUAUUAUGGUACGGCAUUGGUGUCAUCGCGAAAAAGAUUCUGAAACUAACUCCUAAAGAGAUUGCUGCAAUGGCGAAAACCAUAUCUCAAACAGGGACAUGGAAAGUAUAUGCUGUCAAAAUAUUAUUCCUAGAAGAUGUCAGCAAAUCCAGUCUGGUACAAGGCAAUAGUGGCCCUCUUAGCAUGGCUAUGGGAGUACUCAAGACAGCCUUUCCCUUCAAGAGAUCGUGCAAGAGUUUAUUUUGUUUUAUUUUGAAAGAUUAUGAUGUCUUUCCCUUGAAGGAUUAUGAUGUCUUUCAAAUCGAUCAUGUUCUGGCUGUUAUGGCAUAUUUCUGA
rnacentral:rRNA from 1 species